rnacentral:rRNA from 1 species
AAGUAUAGUGAUACUGCCNNGACCGGGAUAGCUGUGGAACUGCAGGCAUACCGUNUAAUAUCUCCGGAUCAGAUGGUGAGAUUCCGCCUGGGAUAGGUCCGCUUCCUAUUAGCUUGUUGGUGGGGUAACGGCCUACCAAGGCAACAAUGGGUACCGGGUGUGAGAGCAUGGCCCGGCUCACUGGGACUGAGACACUGCCCAGACACCUACGGGUGGCUGCAGUCGAGAAUCUUCCGCAAUGGGCGAAAGCCUGACGGAGCGACGCNGCGUGCGGGAUGAAGGCCUUCGGGUUGUAAACCGCUGUCAGUGGGGAGGAAAUCUAUAGGGGUCAUCCCCUAUAGUUGACCUAUCUUCAGA